CAUUAAUCCCCGUGUCUGUCCCAGGAGAAGCUGUCUCCAACCUCGGACCUUGUAUAGGAUAACAGUGCCCUGGCGUCACAAAGUGAUAAGAGCUGUCAGUGUUCGUACUACAGGUUUUCAAGCACAAUCCAUUUUUUAUGAGGCUGAUCUUGGCGACAGCUUUAUUUCACAAAGCAAUCUUAAACUUUGUCUGGCAGGAGAUGGGUCGCAAAAGGUCAAAUAUUCUGUGCAGCCAUUUAUUAACCAUCUGAUGACUAAAAAGUCCCUUAAGGUCCACAUAUGACUCUAAGGUUUCUAUAUACAUGGCAUUCAAUGAGUUCAGGAAGUGGCCAGGAAUCAUGUGACUGUAGACCAAGAUCAACUCCAUGGUGAGUGUAAAAAAUCCCAGGAUACCCUGGAGAAAAUGGACGCUAUGCGGCGCACACCAAUGGCACACAUGGGU